GUGAACCUCUGUGCCCCAUAAGCGAGUCGUUCAGCCCCACAAGUGACCCCUGUGCCCCACAAGUGUGUCCUUCUGCCCCAUAAGUGACCCCUGUGCCCCACAUGUGAGUCCUUCUGCCCCAUAAGUGACCCCUGUGCCCCACAAGUGUGUCCUUCUGCCCCAUAAGUGACCCCUGUGCCACACAAGUGUGUCCCUCUGCCCCAUAAGUGACCCCUGUGCCCCACAAGUGUGCCCUUCUGCCCCACAAGUGACCUCUGGGCCCCACAAGUGUGUCCUUCUGCCCCACAAGUGUGUCUUUCGAACCCAUAAGUGACCCCUGUGCCCCACAAAUGUGUCCUUCUGCCCCAUAAGUGUGCCCUUCUGCCCCACAAGUGUGUCCUUCUGCCCCAUAAGUGACCCCUGUGCCCCACGUGUGUCCUUCUGCCCCACAAGUGACCUCUUGCCCCACAAGUGUGUCCUUCUGCCCCAUAAGUGCCUCCCUCUGCCCCAUAAGCGUCACCCCAUGCCCUAUAAGUGCUCCAUAAGUGCGUCCUUCUGCCCCCAUAAGUGCCCCGUAAGCGUCACUCCGUGCCCCAUAAGUGCCUCUGUGCCCCAUAAGUGCCCAAAUUUCCCCCACAAGCGCCCCGUCCGGCCCCGUUUCGCACCGCUCUCCUCCGCCGCCGCCAUCGCUCCCGCGCCGCCGCCGUUUGAAACGGCCAAUGGGAGCGCGGCCCGCGGGCAUGCGCGCUGCGGGAACGGCCGCGGGGGCGGUGACAAGAUGGCGCCGGUUGCCCGGCAACGGGGCGGCGACAAGAUGGCGGCGGUUGCCCGGCAACGGGGCGGCGACAAGAUGGCAGCGGUUGCCUGGCAAUGGGGCGGCGACAAGAUGGCAGCGGUUGCCUGGCAACGGGGCGGCGACAAGAUGGCGCCGGUUGCCUGGCAACGGGGGAGGAGGCAAGAUGGCGGCGGUUGCCCGGCAACGGGGGAGGAGGCAAGAUGGCGGCGGUUGCCCGGCAACAGAGCGCGGCGAGGUCCGGCGGCGACGCGUGACGUCAUCGAGCUGCGUCGCGGGCGCCGUGUGACGUCACGGGCGGCGAGCGACGCAGGCGGGAGGCGGCGGGGGUCAGAAACGGCUUUAAUGAACGGCGGGACGGCGCCGGGAAACGCGGCGACACCGGGGGGACGCGUGGGGACCCAUAGAAACCCCAUAGAGACACACAGAGCCCCAUAGCGCCCCAUAGAGACCCAUAGAAACCCCAUAGAGACACACAGAGCCCCAUAGCGCCCCAUUGAGCCCCAUAGAGACCCAUUGAGCCCCAUAGAGCCCCAUAGAAACCCCAUAGCGCCCCAUAGAGACCCAUAGAGACCCAUAGAGACCCCAUAGAGACCCACAGAGCCCCAUAGAAACCCCAUAGCGCCCCAUAGAGACACACAGAGCCCCAUAGAAACCCCAUAGCGCCCCAUAGAGACCCCAUAGAGAUCCAUGGAAACCCCAUAGCGCCCCAUAGAGACCCACUGAGUGCCAUAGAAACCAUAGGGACCCAAAGGGACACAUAGGGACCCAUACAGACCCACAGAGACCCCAUAGCGCCCCACAGUGACUCUUAGUACCCUAUAGAGACCACAGAGACCCAUAGGGACCCACACAGACCCAAAGGGACCCAUAGAGAUCCACAGAGCCCCAUAGAGACCCCAUAGCGCCCCAUAGAGACCCACUGAGUGCCAUAGAAACCAUAGGGACCCAAAGGGACCCGCAGAGACACAUAGGGACCCAUAGGAACACAUAGGGACCCAUACAGACCCACAGGGACCCCAUAGAGACCCCAUACGGACCCCAGAGAGACCCAUAGCGCCCCAUAGAAACCCACAGAGACCCAUAGGGACCCCAUAGGGACCCACAGGGACCCCAUAGAGACCCAUAGAGACCCCAUAGAGACCCAUAGAGACCCCAUAGGGACCCAUACAGACCCCAUAGAGACCCAUAGGGACCCAUAGGGACCCCAAACGGACCCAUAGGGACCCAUAGGGACCCAUAGAAACCAUAGGGACCCAUAGGGACCCCAUAGAGACCCAUAGGGACCCACUGAGUGCCAUAGAAACCAUAGGGACCCAAAGGGACCCACAGAGACACAUAGGGACCCAUAGAGACCCAUACAGACCCCAGAGAGACCCACAGCACCCCAUAGAAACCCACAGAGAUCCAUAGGGACCCUACAGGGACCCAUAGAGACCCAUAGAAACCCCAUAGGGACCCAAAGGGAACCUAUAGGGACCCCAUAGAGCUGCAUAGAGACCCAUAGGGCACAUGGGGACCCCAUAGAGACCCAUAGGGACCCAUAGAGCCCCAUAGAGACAAAGAGGGACCCAUAGGGACCCCAUAGGGACCCAUACAGACCCCACAGAGACCCAUAGCGCCCCAUAGAGACCCAUAGAAACCCACUGAGUGCCAUAGAAACCAUUGGGACCCAAAGGGACCCACAGAGACACAUAGGGACCCAUAGGAACACAUAGGGACCCAUACAGACCCAUAGGAACCCCAUAGAGACCCCAUACGGACCCAUAGAGACCCAUAGAGACCCCACAGAGACCCAUAGCGCCCCAUAGAAACCCACAGAGAUCCAUAGGGACCCCACAGGGACCCAUAGAGACCCAUAAGGACCCAUAGAGACCCACAGAAACCCCAUAGAGACCCAUAGGGACCCACAGAGACCCUUAGUACCCUAUAGAGACCCACAGAGACCCCAUAGGGACACAUAGAGCCCCAUAGAGCCCCACAGAGACAAAUAGGGACCCAUAGAGACUCAUAGGGACCCAUAGAGAUGCAUAGGGACUCCAUAGAGACCCCAAAGGGACCCAUAGAAACCAUAGGGACCCAUAGAAACCCCAUAGAGACCCUUCUGUGCCCCAUAGAGACACACCGGGACCCAAUGUGCCCCAUAGGGACCCAUAGAGACUCACAGAGGCCCUACAGUUCCCCAUAGGGACCCAGAGAGACCCCAUAGAGACCCCAUAGCGCCCCAUAGGGAUCCAUAGAGACCCCACAGGGACCCCAUAGAGACCCCAUAGAGACCCUAAACCCCCAUAUGGACCCCAAAAUCCCCAUAGGGACCCCAUAGGGACCCAAAAUCCCCAUAGGGACCCCAUAGAGACACUGGGACCCCAUAGAGACCCCAAAAUCCCCAUAGGGCCACCAAAGAGAUACCAAGAACCCAUAGGGACCCCAUUGAGACACCAGGACCCACAGAGACCCAAUAAAGACCCCAUAGGGACCCCA
rnacentral:lncRNA from 1 species